CUGCCGAGAAGUUCAUUAAACCCUCCCACCUAGAGGAAGGAGAAGUCGUAACAAGGUUUCCGUAGGUGAACCUGCGGAAGGAUCAUUGA
rnacentral:rRNA from 1 species